CCUGACUACAUAGACACCGAGACCGUCUGUCCGUCCGUCCGUCCUCCCUCUGUGACUGUGUAUGCGGCUGAGCGCAAAUGAAAGGAUGUCGGAGACACAACUUUCCAAAAUCAAAUCUGCCAAAAGCUCGUCCGCCAUCCAUCCAUCCAUCCAUCUCUCCAAAUAACGAUAACUGCUCAUCAAGCUAAGACGUAUACCCAAGACUGGUUAGCAAGAAAAGACAUCCAAAGUUUUGGUCUUGGGUAUAGUAGGAGUGUUUCCCUGGCAGAAAAACAGUUUCACAACAAUGGAUAUGAGAUGGAUUCAAAUUUUAAGGGUUGCAGGAGUGACGGCGCGUGACUGAACUGGUCGCCGGCCAAUCGCAGGGCACACAGGUACAAGC